GACGAACGCUGGCGGCGUGCCUAAUACAUGCAAGUCGAACGAACUCUGGUAUUGAUUGGUGCUUGCAUCAUGAUUUACAUUUGAGUGAGUGGCGAACUGGUGAGUAACACGUGGGAAACCUGCCCAGAAGCGGGGGAUAACACCUGGAAACAGAUGCUAAUACCGCAUAACAACUUGGACCGCAUGGUCCGAGCUUGAAAGAUGGCUUCGGCUAUCACUUUUGGAUGGUCCCGCGGCGUAUUAGCUAGAUGGUGGGGUAACGGCUCACCAUGGCAAUGAUACGUAGCCGACCUGAGAGGGUAAUCGGCCACAUUGGGACUGAGACACGGCCCAAACUCCUACGGGAGGCAGCAGUAGGGAAUCUUCCACAAUGGACGAAAGUCUGAUGGAGCAACGCCGCGUGAGUGAAGAAGGGUUUCGGCUCGUAAAACUCUGUUGUUAAAGAAGAACAUAUCUGAGAGUAACUGUUCAGGUAUUGACGGUAUUUAACCAGAAAGCCACGGCUAACUACGUGCCAGCAGCCGCGGUAAUACGUAGGUGGCAAGCGUUGUCCGGAUUUAUUGGGCGUAAAGCGAGCGCAGGCGGUUUUUUAAGUCUGAUGUGAAAGCCUUCGGCUCAACCGAAGAAGUGCAUCGGAAACUGGGAAACUUGAGUGCAGAAGAGGACAGUGGAACUCCAUGUGUAGCGGUGAAAUGCGUAGAUAUAUGGAAGAACACCAGUGGCGAAGGCGGCUGUCUGGUCUGUAACUGACGCUGAGGCUCGAAAGUAUGGGUAGCAAACAGGAUUAGAUACCCUGGUAGUCCAUACCGUAAACGAUGAAUGCUAAGUGUUGGAGGGUUUCCGCCCUUCAGUGCUGCAGCUAACGCAUUAAGCAUUCCGCCUGGGGAGUACGGCCGCAAGGCUGAAACUCAAAGGAAUUGACGGGGGCCCGCACAAGCUGUGGAGCAUGUGGUUUAAUUCGAAGCUACGCGAAGAACCUUACCAGGUCUUGACAUACUAUGCAAAUCUAAGAGAUUAGACGUUCCCUUCGGGGACAUGGAUACAGGUGGUGCAUGGUUGUCGUCAGCUCGUGUCGUGAGAUGUUGGGUUAAGUCCCGCAACGAGCGCAACCCUUAUUAUCAGUUGCCAGCAUUAAGUUGGGCACUCUGGUGAGACUGCCGGUGACAAACCGGAGGAAGGUGGGGAUGACGUCAAAUCAUCAUGCCCCUUAUGACCUGGGCUACACACGUGCCACAAUGGAUGGUACAACGAGUUGCGAACUCGCGAGAGUAAGCUAAUCUCUUAAAGCCAUUCUCAGUUCGGAUUGUAGGCUGCAACUCGCCUACAUGAAGUCGGAAUCGCUAGUAAUCGCGGAUCAGCAUGCCGCGGUGAAUACGUUCCCGGGCCUUGUACACACCGCCCGUCACACCAUGAGAGUUUGUAACACCCAAAGUCGGUGGGGUAACCUUUUAGGAACCAGCCGCCUAAGGUGGGACAGAUGAUUAGGGUGAAGUCGUAACAAGGUAGCCGUAG
rnacentral:rRNA from 1 species